AGGAGGAACAGCCCCAGUGGCGGGGCAGCUCUGGAAACCUGGAUUCAGCUCCGGCAGGUACUCCGUCUGCAGGGCCUGGAGGCUCCGGGGCGGG
rnacentral:pre_miRNA from 1 species